UUUUAACAUAUGUUUGGCAUUGUUUAUUUUAGGGUACGUCUGAAAGGCUUUAAAUACACUUUAUUUGAAAGGGUCAUUUGACGAGUCACAUAUAUGUACAGGUUCCAGAAAAAUUAGACCGGAAGUCAGAGAACGCAUCUGGCUGAUGGUGGCUCCACCUGUUGCCGAGAUUUUGUAAUCUCGGGCAAGGUCUCGGAAUGGCAUGUGUUGGUAUAGAUAGUGUUAAGAAGAAUCUGUUACAACCCAACACGUGGGGCGAGCAGGAUGACCGCUCCGUCUAAAUAAUAAACAGACCGGAUCCGAUAGGAAAGAUUCCGGAGACAGAUAAAAAUUUACUGAUAAAUAUUUAAACGAUUAUUUUGAUAUCCGACGCACAAUCAAAUACCAAUUACAUUUUUAUGACUAAGAUUCAUGUCAAAGUGGUUUUAGUUCGA